rnacentral:rRNA from 1 species
UACAGAGGUCUCAAGCGUUGUUCGGAUUCAUUGGGCGUAAAGGGUGCGUAGGCGGCGCGGUAAGUCGGGUGUGAAAUCUUGGAGCUUAACUCCGAAACUGCAUUCGAUACUGCCGGGCUAGAGUGUGGGAGAGGUGAGUGGAAUUUCCGGUGUAGCGGUGAAAUGCGUAGAUAUCGGAAGGAACACCUGUGGCGAAAGCGGCUCACUGGACCACAACUGACGCUGAGGCACGAAAGCUAGGGGAGCAAACAGG